CAGUUUGAAACCGUGUGGCGCUGAAGUCGCCACGGCUACUUUUUAGUCCGUGUCUUUGACGAAAUAGACUUUUUUAACGGGGGAAUUACGGACAAUAUUAUAUCAUAUCAUGUCGUGCAGUAAAUCUUUGAAGGCUACAGAUCUCCAUUCGUCCUGGAAAGUCGAGUUUGACUGGAAGGAUUUUCCGGAAGAACUUGUUCAGGGAUGUUGUGCUGUUGCAUCUGUUUUGUGCGUGCCAACGGUGGCUGUUUUAUAUAGCCUUAUCACGGUCGCGGCUUUUGCUGUAAGCCAUGCACAAGUCUCUCCACCUGACACCAAAUGGAGGGAAAAUGUUCUUCUGUGGACAGCCAUCUGUCUGCCAACAGGCGCUGGGAAAUCUACUAUCUGUAAAUGGAUUCAAGAACUUGUGAC